UUCUUAUUCAAGUCCUGUGUUAUCUAAGAAAGUCUGGAAAAAAUGCAGAGAAAAAGAGAAUUGGGAAUUCCCACCCCAUGAUGUGAUUGCAACAAUCCUGUCUCAGGAUUCCUCCAGUAUUUCCCAAAUAAUUCAAAUUGUGGCCUGGGUCCUCAGUGCUGCCUCCUCCUCCCAACAGAGUAAGAGGAGAAUGCAAGUUGGAGACCAUCAAUCACCCCAGAUUGUACAGCCAUGGCAGCUUCAUAGGUUCCUGAGAACCUUCCAACAUCACAAUAUUUCCAGAGAUGGGAUUUCUUUUGAUGAAAAUGGAGUUCCUGUUGGUGACUUUGCUAUCAUGCAGUGGACAUCAGCUUUGAACAAAACAGAUGCGGGGGUGAAAAUUGGGAAUGUAGAAAGACAAGCCUCCUCGGAAGUCAAGAUUUCUGUCAAUCAAAGUGCCAUCCAAUGGCCAACUUUAUUUAACAAAGUAGUUGAGGCUGCUUGGAUUUUGCUCUUCUAUUUAUCUCCAUAUGUGGAAAUUUUUCUGCUCAGAAGUAAUUCUUAUUUAGGCCAAUUGAGAUAACUUCCAAUAAGAGAAUUUAAAGCCUCAUUAAUUCAUUAGAUAUCAUUUUACUUUAGAGGUUUUACUGUAAUCUAUCAUACAAUGGAACCUGCUGCAUUGUAUUCCAGGAUUUGCAAUCUACAUUAUUAAACUGGAAUUUGCUGCCAUAA